rnacentral:rRNA from 1 species
GAUGGGAUUAGCUUGUUGGUGAGGUAAUGGCUCACCAAGGCGACGAUCCCUAGCUGGUCUGAGAGGAUGACCAGCCACACUGGAACUGAGACACGGUCCAGACUCCUACGGGAGGCAGCAGUGGGGAAUAUUGCACAAUGGGCGCAAGCCUGAUGCAGCCAUGCCGCGUGUAUGAAGAAGGCCUUCGGGUUGUAAAGUACUUUCAGCGGGGAGGAAGGUGUUGCGGUUAAUAACCGCAGCAAUUGACGUUACCCGCAGAAGAAGCACCGGCUAACUCCGUGCCAGCAGCCGCGGUAAUACGGAGGGUGCAAGCGUUAAUCGGAAUUACUGGGCGUAAAGCGCACGCAGGCGGUCUGUCAAGUCGGAUGUGAAAUCCCCGGGCUCAACCUGGGAACUGCAUUCGAAACUGGCAGGCUUGAGUCUUGUAGAGGGGGGUAGAAUUCCAGGUGUAGCGGUGAAAUGCGUAGAGAUCUGGAGGAAUACCGGUGGCGAAGGCGGCCCCCUGGACAAAGACUGACGCUCAGGUGCGAAAGCGUGGGGAGCAAACAGGAUUAGAUACCCUGGUAGUCCACGCCGUAAACGAUGUCUACUUGGAGGUUGUGCCCUUGAGGCGUGGCUUCCGGAGCUAACGCGUUAAGUAGACCGCCUGGGGAGUACGGCCGCAAGGUUAAAACUCAAAUGAAUUGACGGGGGCCCGCACAAGCGGUGGAGCAUGUGGUUUAAUUCGAUGCAACGCGAAGAACCUUACCUGGUCUUGACAUCCACAGAACUUUCCAGAGAUGGAUUGGUGCCUUCGGGAACUGUGAGACAGGUGCUGCAUGGCUGUCGUCAGCUCGUGUUGUGAAAUGUUGGGUUAAGUCCCGCAACGAGCGCAACCCUUAUCCUUUGUUGCCAGCGGUCCGGCCGGGAACUCAAAGGAGACUGCCAGUGAUAAACUGGAGGAAGGUGGGGAUGACGUCAAGUCAUCAUGGCCCUUACGACCAGGGCUACACACGUGCUACAAUGGCGCAUACAAAGAGAAGCGACCUCGCGAGAGCAAGCGGACCUCAUAAAGUGCGUCGUAGUCCGGAUUGGAGUCUGCAACUCGACUCCAUGAAGUCGGAAUCGCUAGUAAUCGUGGAUCAGAAUGCCACGGUGAAUACGUUCCCGGGCCUUGUACACACCGCCCGUCACACCAUGGGAGUGGGUUGCAAAAGAAGUAGGUAGCUUAACCUUCGGGAGGGCGCUUACCACUUUGUGAUUCAUGACUGGGGUGAAGUCGUAACAAGGUAACCGUAGGGGAACCUGC